GUAGGUGGCAAGCGUUGUCCGGAAUUAUUGGGCGUAAAGCGCGCGCAGGUGGGUUCUUUAAGUCUGAUGUGAAAGCCCCCGGGCUCAACCGGGGAGGGUCAUUUGGAAACUGGGGAACUUGAGUGCAGGAGAGGAAAGUGGAAUUCCACGUGUAGCGGUGAAAUGCGUAGAUAUGUGGAGGAACACCAGUGGCGAAGGCGACUUUCUGGCCUGUAACUGACACUGAGGCGCGAAAGCGUGGGGAGCAAACAGGAUUAGAUACCCUGGUAGUCCACGCCGUAACGAUGAGUGCUAAGUGUUGGGGGGGUUUCCGCCCCUCAGUGCUGCAGCUAACGCAUUAAGCACUCCGCCUGGGGAGUACGGUCGCAAGACUG
rnacentral:rRNA from 1 species